GUACUCAGUCAUGCCACACUGAAUGUGCCCAAUCUUACCUGAUCUCAGAAGUUAAACAGGGUUGGGACUGGUUAGUACUUGGAUGGGAGACUGCCUAGGAAUAUUAGGUGCUAGAGGCU
rnacentral:rRNA from 1 species